UUUUUCACUCUUAUAUUUUACAUAGUACACACAGGCCCGAAAUACACACACACAUGCACAAACAGGACCUACGUGCAUUAAUGGAGAGAUAUCAGAGCAAGGGGGCUGCCCCUGACAGGCGCCCCGAGCAGUUGGGGGUUUGGUGCCUUGCUUAAGGGCACCUCGGCAGUGCCCAAGAGGCAAACUGGCAUCUCUCCAGCUACCAGUUCACACUCAGUACUUGGUCCUUGUGGGGACUUUAACCAGCGACCCUCCGGUUCCCGAGCCAAGUCCCUAUGGACUGAGCUACUCCCGCCCAGGUUCCUGAGUUGCAAUGCAGUGAUGAUUUGAUUAUAUAUAUCACAUUUUUUAUCCAUUCAAAAUGUACCUAAAGGGAGAUUUGUUAAGUAAACUGGGAAAAAAAAGUUUGGAAACUUGUGUUUGGUGGAUUAUU